CGCAGACGGAAUUGAAUCCCGUUAGUAACUGUUGCCCUUUCUCGGCAUGGAACGGACGCUUUGGGCGCUUCUCGGACGUUUUGGGGGAUGAAAACCACUGAUGACGCUGCUGCCUCAGUGUCCCUUCGGGAGGAUUUGAGAAUUCUAUAUCCACGUUAACUCGAACAAAUAUCCUAAUGACUAUCACUCCAGACAGAGAUUUGGGAAAGCACAGGUAUUUCUGAAAGUCCUCUGAAUACUCUUUUCUUUCAUUUCUUUUCUUUGAUUUUUUAAUAU